GAUGAAUUUGAGGAAAAACUGAAACAACAGGAAUUCAAAAGUCUUGUGGUGAAGUUACUUGCAACCCUUGGUGGUAAAGAUGCAAAAUUGUUAAUGUUCAAUUGUAUGAAAUGAUGCCUGACGUCAGAGAUAGGAAUGAAGUUUUCAUAUACAGGAAGGCCUCCAAAAGACAAGACGAAAGAAAGGAAAAGAGCUUUCUGUUCAACCUUGCUUUGUGCAGCAAUUCAAAGUUCAGUCAGAAAAAUAUUUCCUUUGACAACCGAAGAACAGUUUAAAACCAACAUAGGACACUGGCUUCAACAGUCAAAAAACAGAAGUCAAACCCCAC